rnacentral:lncRNA from 1 species
AUUGUAGCAACAAAAUUUGGGGAGGUGGUAAGAGCCGAUGAAGGGGUUGUAGCAAGCAGCAGACUUACUGACUUACGCACACCUGAGAAAGAUAACUCUAACCUGGACACGGGAGUGAACAGCAGACUUACUGACUUACGCACACCUGAGAAAGAUAACUCUAACCUGGACACGGGAGUGAACAGCAGACUUACUGACUUACACACACCUGAGAAACGUAACUCUAACCUGGACACGGGAGUGAACAGCAGACUUACUGACUUACACACACCUGAGAAACGUAACUCUAACCUGGACACGGGAGUGAACAGCAGACUUACUGACUUACGCACACCUGAGAAACGUAACUCUAACCUGGACACGGGAGUGAACAGCAGACUUACUGACUUACACACACCUGAGAAAGAUAACUCUAACCUGGACACGGGAGUGAACAACAGACUUACUGACUUACGCACACCUGAGAAAGAUAACUCUAACCUGGACACGGGAGUGAACAGCAGACUUACUGACUUACACACACCUGAGAAACGUAACUCUAACCUGGACACGGGAGUGAACAGCAGACUUAGUGACUUACACACACCUGAGAAAGAUAACUCUAACCUGGACACGGGAGUGAACAGCAGACUUACUGACUUACGCACACCUGAGAAAGAUAACUCUAACCUGGACACGGGAGUGAACAGCAGACUUACUGACUUACGCACACCUGAGAAAGAUAACUCUAACCUGGACACGGGAGUGAACAGCAGACUUACUGACUUACACACACCUGAGAAAGAUAACUCUAAUCUGGACACGGGAGUGAACAGCAGACUUACUGACUUACACACACCUGAGAAAGAUAACUGUAAUCUGGCCAUGGGAGUGCCCAGAAGCAAAACCUCAGAACCCAUGAAGUCUAAAAUUCUGGAGGCACCUACUCCAGAGAAUGGGAGCCUAGCUGGGCCUGCAUUGAAUGUAGGGAGACUGGAUGCAAACCUAGGGAGGAAGAGACACUUUCAGAAAGCUGCAUCCCCCUCACUCUGUUAG